UACGGGAGGCAGCAGUGGGGAAUAUUGCACAAUGGGCGCAAGCCUGAUGCAGCCGAUGCCGCGUGUAUGAAGGAAGGCCUUCGGGUUGUAAAGUACUUUCAGUCGUGAGGAAGGUGUUAAGGUUAAUAACCUUAGCAAUUGACGUUAGCGACAGAAGAAGCACCGGCUAACUCCGUGCCAGCAGCCGCGGUAAUACGGAGGGUGCGAGCGUUAAUCGGAAUUACUGGGCGUAAAGGGCACGCAGGCGGUUAAUUAAGUUGGAUGUGAAAUCCCCGGGCUUAACCUGGGAAUGGCAUUCAAGACUGGUUAGCUAGAGUCUUGUAGAGGGGGUAGAAUUCCAUGUGUAGCGGUGAAAUGCGUAGAGAUGUGGAGGAAAUACCGGUGGCGAAGGCGGCCCCUGGACAAAGACUGACGCUCAUGUGCGAAAGCGUGGGGAGCAAACAGGGAUUAGAUACC
rnacentral:rRNA from 1 species